rnacentral:rRNA from 1 species
AAUGAACGUUGGCGGCGUGGAUUAGGCAUGCAAGUCGCGCGCUUCCCUUCGGGGAGGAGCGGCGGAAGGGAGAGUAACGCGUAGAUACCUGCCCUCGAGACCGGAAUAGCGACGGGAAACUGUCGGUAAUGCCGGAUAACGUCCCUGGACCAAAGGUGUGAUUCCGCCUGAGGAGGGGUCGGCGUCCCAUUAGCUAGUCGGCGGGGUAACGGCCCACCGAGGCGAAGAUGGGUACCGGGCGUGAGAGCGUGACCCGGCUCACUGGGACUGAGACACUGCCCAGACACCUACGGGUGGCUGCAGUCGAGAAUCUUCGGCAAUGAGCGCAAGCUUGACCGAGCGACGCUGCGUGCGGGAUGAAGGCCUUCGGGUUGUAAACCGCUGUCAGUGGGGAGGAAAUUCGUGGGGGUUCUCCCUCUCGAUUGACCGAUCCGCAGAGGAAGGACGGGCUAAGUUCGUGCCAGCAGCCGCAGUAACAC